GAUGUAGAUGGUUUAAAGUUAAGGGAGAUAAGUCGGUCAGAGAAAGAUAAAUAUCACAUGGUGUCACACGUACAUGGGAUUUAAGAAGCCAAACAAACACAGGAAAAAAAGAAAGACAAACCAAGAAACAGACUCUUAACUAUGGAGAACGAACUGAUGGUGACCAGAGAGAAGGUGGGGGUGGGGGCGGAGGAAAAAG